AUGGUACCUAUUAAUAUUCAAGAAGAGAGGGAUCAAAUUUAUGCUAGAACCCUUAAUUGUCAGAUGGGACACUUUCCUUUCACAUACCUUGGGCUUCCUUUAGGACUUCACAAACCAACAGUGGAGCAAUGCUUACCAUUUGUUAAUAGGAUUGCAAAAAGAUUGGCUGGCAUUGCCACAUUUAUGACCUAUGCAGGCAGAUUGUUAAUGGUUAAAUCAGUUCUGGCAUCUCUCACAAUAUUCUUCAUGAGCUAUUUGGAUGUACCAGUGACUAUUAAGCAGCAAAUCUUGAAAUAUUCCAGGCACUGCUUGUGGAGAGGACCAGAUAUGGAAGACCAUAGACCAGCUUUAGUAAAAUGGACCACUAUUUGUAGACCAAAGAGUCAGGGAGGGCUAGGAGUCAUGGAUAUCUUCACACAGAACAAGGCACUGCUUAUGAAAAAUUUACACAAAUACUACAACAGACAUGACAUUCCAUGGGUGAAAUUGAUUUGGGAGACUCAUUACAAUGAGGACCAGUUGCCAGGAGAUGAGUUAGUA
rnacentral:rRNA from 1 species